GGCCAGGUAGCUCAGUCGGUAGAGCAACGGACUGAAAAUCCGUGUGUCCCCAGUUCAAUUCUGGGCCUGGCCA
rnacentral:tRNA from 1 species